rfam:Aspergillus ustus strain 3.3904 ATSC_49, whole genome shotgun sequence.
GCGCUGGUAGUGUAGCGGUUAUCAUCCUUGCCUUCCAAGCAAGGGACCGGGGUUCGACUCCCCGCCAGCGCA